rnacentral:rRNA from 1 species
GAUGAACGCUAGCGGCAGGCUUAAUACAUGCAAGUCGUGGGGCAGCAGGGGCGUAGCAAUACGCUCGCUGGCGACCGGCAAACGGGUGCGGAACACGUACACAACCUUCCUUUAAGUGGGGAAUAGCCCGGGGAAACCCGGAUUAAUACCCCGUAACAUAAUGAAGUGGCAUCGCUUUAUUAUUAUAGCUCCGGCGCUUGAAGAUGGGUGUGCGACUGAUUAGGCAGUUGGCGGGGUAACGGCCCACCAAACCUACGAUCAGUAACUGGUGUGAGAGCACGACCAGUCACACGGGCACUGAGACACGGGCCCGACUCCUACGGGAGGCAGCAGUAAGGAAUAUUGGUCAAUGGACGCAAGUCUGAACCAGCCAUGCCGCGUGGAGGAUGAAGGUCCUCUGGAUUGUAAACUUCUUUUAUCUGGGAAGAAAUCCAUGAAUUCUUUUGUGGUUGACGGUACCAGAUGAAUAAGCACCGGCUAACUCCGUGCCAGCCGCCGCGGUAA